AGGGUGAAAGAGGAAGCUGCUGGGGAUAUUUACUUUCCACUGUUUCCUCUAAUUGGUUCUUCUCUGUGAAGAAGCCAAGUGCAACUACACCCGCCCUGUUCUGAACUGCAAGCCGGCUGUACUCACAUUCUAAUUGCUAUUAAGCUGCCUGUCCUUGCAAUAGAACCAACUCAGUGUUACUGAGGAUUAAUGACAAGUUGCUGCCUUUAAUGCAUGGGCCAUUAAUGCACUGCGGGUACACAGCCAACAUUCACCCCCUCACUCAGCCAGACAUCUGGAGCUCAGUGGCAUUUGACCUCUCCUUCACUCCGGACCAGGCAGCGU